CUCCAUGGCUCUGAAGCUUCCCCUCUGCCCACCCCCAUCUCCGCCAGUGAAGGGACUUCCUCGUGUGUGGAUACUUUUCCUCCUUCACAGCUCCCUCCCAGAGAUAUUUUGGAAUAAUGUAGAUAGCCAAAGGGGCUCAUCUCCAAGAGAGAAUACAUAAUCAUCAUGAGCCACUACCUAAGUUGGAAGUACGUAAUAAAGAGGCCAGAUGAUUACAUGGAAAAUAAAAGCUAUCGACUUCAACUGGUCUACUUGACUGUGGAGCAUCGUCCAGCAAGAAAUCUCCAGCACAAAACUUCGCAAACCACUUUUGACGCAUCUGAUCAGUCACAGCACCUUCUCCAUACACUGCACAAAUCUUCUUUGGCUUUUCAGCUGCGUUUUUACCUUUCUUGAAAUAAUAAAGCAUAAU